GCGAGUGAAGCGGCAAAAGCUCAAAUUUGAAACCGGUUCGCCGGGUUGUAAUUUGAAGAUUGUGUUUUGGAGACGACCGUGUCUAUGUUCCUUGGAACAGGACGUCACAGAGGGUGAGAAUCCCGUGCGAUGCGGCCACCGUCUCUAUAUAAAACACUCUCAAAGAGUCGAGUUGUUUGGGAAUGCAGCUCAAAGUGGGUGGUAAAUUCCAUCUAAAGCUAAAUACUGGCGAGAGACCGAUAGCGAACAAGUACAGUGAUGGAAAGAUGAAAAGCACUUUGAAAAGAGAGUGAAACAGUACGUGAAAUUGUUGAAAGGGAAGGGCAUGCCGUCAGAUUGCCAGUAUCGGUUGAUUUCGGGUGGAUAAAAGUGUUGGAACGUGGCCUUCGGGUGUUAUAGCCUUCACCAAUACACCCUGAUCGACCGAGGACUGCUUUUAGGAUACUGGCGUAAUGACGGUACGCCGCCC
rnacentral:rRNA from 1 species